AGAUCAACAUAGCUCACAACACAAAGAGAGUUGUGUUACGCUAUUUGUUCAAGAAUAUCUUAACAAACCAAGCAUAAAUCUGAGGCAGAGUUUUCUGAAUUCUGGGAAAUGUAUAGUCUCACUUAAUUGCUCAUCAGUGAGUAAUAACGUUACCCUGACUUGGAAACCAGAGACUGACUUUAAGGACAGAUACUGGAGUGAUAGUGAGAAAGACUCCGGUGAGUCAGUGCUGUGGACAUCCUUCACUCCCAACAGAGACGUAACCUUCACCUGUAUCGCCACCAGUGCUGAUCAGAAACAGGAGAACAGUAUAACAGUGAAAUGUCCAGAUUCACAGAUUUCUGGAUUAUCUGUAUUUAUUGGGUUUAUUAUUGGAGUCGUUAUAACAGUGUUACUGAUUGCUGUUUGCUGGUGUUGUGAUGUUGGAAAUACUCGCGACUGGAUCACCAGCCUGAAGAACGCAAUAAUGCAAUCAUGUUGCUCUGGAAAUAAUUAGGUAUUUAUGCUUUGAUGUGCUCUAGAAAUUCAUACAGUUGUGUGGAAAAAGUAAUUGCCCCCCUUCUACGGUUAUUGCAUACAUCUUUCAGCCACAACAUUAAAACCACCUGUGUAAUAUUGUGUGGAUAACAUUCAUGCUGCUAAAACAGCUUUGAUCCAUUGAAGCAUGGACUCCACUCGUUGUCCUGUGGUAUCUGACUUCAAGACGUCAACAGGAGAUGCUUUAUGUCCUGUUUGCUGUGAGGUGUGACCUUCAUAGAUCAAUCAUAUGUGAGAAGAGCUGGACAAACUGUCUGAUCAGCAAAAUCAACACCUUAAACUCUUUGUCGCAUUCUUCAAAACAUUCCUGAACAAGUUUGCAGUGUGGCAGGGCACUUUAUUCCACAGGGGCACCUCUCUCAUGCAAAACACCUCUCUCAUGCAAAACAUUUUAUUAAACAGAUUUUUUUAAAUGAAGGAACAAAGUUAAACAACAUACAUUUAACCUUUACCAAAAUCUUAUAACAAACAUUUGAUUACAAUUGUUACUGCCAAGUGUGGCAUAAAAAGUAAUUAGGUUUAGAGAGGUGAUGUAAAAUUUCAAUAAAUCUUUGUCUUUAAAACAUGGAUGACGAUUUAAAAGCUG